rnacentral:rRNA from 1 species
GAUGAACGCUGGCGGCGUGCCUAAUACAUGCAAGUCGAGCGAACAGACGAGGAGCUUGCUCCUCUGACGUUAGAGGCGGACGGGUGAGUAACAAGUGGAUAACCUACCUAUAAGACUGGGAUAACAUCGGGAAACCGGAGCUCAUACCGGAUAAUAUAUAGAACCGCAUGGUUCACUAGUGAAAGACGGCUUUGCUGUCACUUAUAGAUGGUUCCGCGCCGCAUUAGCUAGUUGGUAAGGUAACGGCUUACCAAGGCAACGAUGCGUAGCCGACCUGAGAGGGUGAUCGGCCACACUGGAACUGAGACACGGUCCAGACUCCUACGGGAGGCAGCAGUAGGGAAUCUUCCGCAAUGGGCGAAAGCCUGACGGAGCAACGCCGCGUGAGUGAUGAAGGUCUUCGGAUCGUAAAACUCUGUUAUUAGGGAAGAACAAAUGUUUAAGUAACUAUGCACGUCUUGACGGUACCUAAUCAGAAAGCCACGGCUAACUACGUG